UACAGAGGGUGCAAGCGUUAAUCGGAAUUACUGGGCGUAAAGCGUGCGUAGACGGUUAUGUAAGUCAGAUGUGAAAGCCCCGGGCUCAACCUGGGAAUUGCAUUUGAGACUGUGUAGCUAGGGUGCGGAAGAGGGAAGCGGAAUUUCCGGUGUAGCGGUGAAAUGCGUAGAUAUCGGAAGGAACACCAGUGGCGAAAGCGGCUUCCUGGUCCAGCACCGACGUUCAGGCACGGAAGCGUGGGGAGCGAACAGG
rnacentral:rRNA from 1 species